rnacentral:lncRNA from 1 species
UCUCAUCCCAAACCUAAGAAUCUCCUUCUAGAUCUCUACCGACCUCAAAAUCUUGGAUUUUUAUCUCAAACCCUUAAGCUCUCACUCUCUCUCAUGGCUUAUUCUCUUGAUCUCCACCAAAUUUCAAACCCUAACCCGCAAAUUUCAUGAGAAACUCUCCUAAACCCUCUUCACCUCUUCAUUUCCUUCCAUCUCUCAUCCCUCUCUUGAUCGAUUUCUCUCUUCUCCUUGGGACAAUGGCCCCCAAAAUGAGGUUGCCAUAGAGAAGGAAGUCAGUGAGUUCCUUGGAGGCUGAGGAAUGAAGGAAGAAAGCAGCUCAAGCACCAACC